UGUUUUAGCACCCUAACGUGACUAAUGUUAAGUAAGGACGCGUAGGUACAGCGCAGAAUCACAGGGUUCAACCGGGUAUAAAUUUCAUCGUGAAAGCCAACUUUUUCAAGUCACCCUGUAGCUGCAUUGGUAGCAGUGUCGUAUCAUCGUAACAACAUGAUACGAUCAACGUGGUUAUUAACUUGACUGCAUGGAAGCUACACAACAUCUUACAAAUACUGAUAUGGACUUUGAAGGACGACGCCAGUUUAUCUGGAGGGUCUUUAUCAUGGAAUAACAAUGCAGCAGGAUGACUUCAACUAGGACUGGCAAAAAAAAUUUUUUCAAUUAUUAAUAGAAAAAUUAAAAAAAAAAAAGUAUUGAGCUUUCUUCAUCUAUAUUUGGCCGAGGAUUUCCAAUAUGUUUCAUUUUGGUCUAUACUGUACGCUGAAAGUACCUGAGCCCUUCAUCACCAUACGGGAUGCAAUCUCCUUCAGGAUAAAGGCAUAUUACUUUAGUGUGAGCCCUUCCAUUGUAUAUAGCCGCUGCCUUCAAGACGUAUAUUGGUAAAGCACAAGCAGAAUCGAUCUACUGGAAGCAGAAUCUUUGAAGUUUAUUGGAUCCUUGUGGUAUGCUGUAGCCUUCGACAUACAAGAUGCGAGUGCUUCAGAAGAGGGAUCACAAAUCUUUGGUAUACGGGAAGCCGAACAAAUAUAUUUAGACAAAGCUCGAGACAGAAUCCCAAACAAUGACUGAAUUAAAAUUGCGAAGCUGAAUUUAUGCAGAUGCAAUUCUAGAUAUAAGUAGUUUAAUUUAAACGUCUUAAUUAAGACAAUGGAACCCAUACAAGAAGCUGGCUGAAAGAAUCAAAAUCUCAAAUUCAUACGUCUCAACUAAGUCGUUCGAAGGAAUAAGGAUUAACAAUCCUUCCUUCACAGGAAGCUGAAACCAUGAAGCGAAUAUGUCUAGGUGAUUUAAGAAGAAUUCGAGUGCCUUGGAGAAAAACUGAAAUAGGAUACCGAAGUCUCAGAAGAGGAAUGCUUGCAUACGAUAAAAUGAACUUGCAAGGUUCCAAGAGAUGGACAAUCCUUUGAUCCAGGAAACGGAACCCUUCAAAUGGUUCGGCAAAAGUUUCCAGAGAAGAUUUAUAUAGUUCCAAAAAGUGUGAAGAAACCUCAAAAUUUUGGUUGAUUCAAAAAUAAGGAUGGUAGGUGCAGAGGGAUCAGGAUGAACAAUCCUUCCCCUCACCGGAAGCUGAAACCAUGAAGCGAUAAGGAAUAGGAGCGUGCUAAAGGAUAUCGGAAGUCUUAGAAGAGAGGAAUGCUUGCAUACGAUAAAAUUAACUUGCAAGGUUCCAAAAGAUGAACAAUCCUUUGAUCCAGAAAACAGAACCCUUCCAGUUUCCAGAGAAGAUUUUCCUGAUGAGAAGAUUAAGUGAAGAGACCUUCAAACUGUAGUUGAUAC